GCCCUUUCAGCUAGCAGAACUGAGCACAACUUAUUUCCCCAGCUGAGCUGCAGGAUUCAUCACAUGAGCACCAGGGGGCCAACUGCCUGGCACCUGCACCCCAGGAGCCAGCCAAUGCUGCGCAGGUGUGCCCUGGGCUGGGGGCUGGUGCAGUGCGAGCAGCAGGGAGCGACUGACCCUGGUGUUAGAGACUGCUCUGAGCUUGGCCAGCAAAGGACUUCCCUGGACAGAGGCACAAAUGCAGCAGUGAAGACAGAUGAGACAAUAACAAUGCUGAGAGUUUUGCCAAACUUAAAGCACUACUACUGGAAUUUACUUCACUCUUCAAACAGGUUGGAUCUAAAGGAUGAGAAGCCAAAUGACAAGCCAGGCCUAAGCUGAGUGUUGCUUAAGGCUGACAAGCAAUUUGCAAAGCCAACCUCUGGGAGCUCUCCAAGAAAGGAUGAAAACAUUGCUGUGUGAUUGCAUCCACUGCUGCCAGAAUCUGCAGGUGAAUCAAAAUUUUUGUGUCUGUUGACAGAUCUAAAAUAGUCUGUGUUGACACUAGAACAUAGCUAUUAACCUCUUCCUAGGCCUGUUAAACCAG